GUCGAGUAUACUCAUGGCGGUGCU
rnacentral:siRNA from 1 species